AAAAAAAUUUAAAAAAAUAUCUUUUAAAUUCGUUAAACAAACGAACUGAAUCUAACGAGAUAAAUCUAACAAAAUAAACAUAACGAGAGGAACUGAAUCCUCGUUUUUUUUUUCUUAUUCAACAAUUUUUAUUUAUUAAAAAACUAACUAAUAUUGAAUUACCUCGCACACCAUAAUAUAAUAAGUAAUAAAUGUGAUCAAUUUUAUAAAGUUAUAUAUUUGUUUUUAAA
rnacentral:lncRNA from 1 species